CGAAAAAUAAUUUUUCGUGGCGUACGGGUGAGUAAUACACAGGAAUCUGCCUUUUAGUUCAGGAUAAAAUUCUGAAUAACAAAAGAAAACUUUUCGCUAAAAGAUGAGCCUGUGUAGGAUUAGGUAGUUGGUAUUUGGGUAAAGGCCUACCAAGCCUAUGAUCCUUAGCUGUUCUGAGAGGUUGUACAGCCACACUGGGACUGAGACAAGGCCCAGGCUUCAUUUGGAGCCAGCAGUGAGGAAUUUUGGACAAUGAGCGAAAGCUUGAUCCAGCAAUACUACAUGAGUGAUGAAGGCUUUCAAGUUGUAAAACUCUUUGGUUGAGGAGGAUAAUGACAGUACUCAACAAAAUAGCCCCGGCUAACUUCGUGCCAGCAGCCGCGGUAAUACGAAGGGGGCGAGCGUUAUCCGGAAUGACUGGGCGUAAAGGGUCCGUAGGCGGCAUUUUUUGUUAGAGGUUAAAUAAAAAAGCUUAACUUUUUUCCGCUUCUAAAACGUAAAUGCUUUGAGUUUGAUAGGAGAUAGCAGAAUUUCACAUGGAGGGGUGAUAUCCGUAGAUAUGUGAAGGAAUACCAGAGGCGAAGGCGGCUAUCUAGAUCAAUACUGACGUUGAGGGACGAAAGCAUGGGGAGCAAACAGGAUUAGAUACCCUGGUAGUCCAUGCCCUAAAAGAUGAGUGCUCGUGCUUAGAUAUUUUUAGGCACUUAGUUAACACGUUAAGCACUCCGCCUGGGGAGUACGACCGCAAGGUUGGAACUCAAAGGAAUUGACGGGGGGCCCAUACAAGUGGUGGAGCAUGUGGUUUAAUGCGACAAUACGCGCGAAACCUUACCAGUUCUUGACAUAAAAAAGAAAAAGUUUGAAAGGACAAUUUUGAAAGAUUUUUACAGGGUGCUGCAUGGCCUGUCGUCAGGCUCCGUGGUCGUGAGAUGUUAGGGUUAACUCCUUU
rnacentral:rRNA from 1 species